GCCAGAGUGGUGGAAUUGGUAGACACGACGGAUUCAAAAUCCGUUGCCCGCGCGGGCGUGCCGGUUCAAGUCCGGCCUCUGGUACCA
rnacentral:tRNA from 1 species